UACGUAGGGUGCAAGCGUUAAUCGGAAUUACUGGGCGUAAAGCGUGCGCAGGCGGUUAUGCAAGACAGAUGUGAAAUCCCCGGGCUCAACCUGGGAACUGCAUUUGUGACUGCAUAGCUGGAGUGCGGCAGAGGGGGAUGGAAUUCCGCGUGUAGCAGUGAAAUGCGUAGAUAUGCGGAGGAACACCGGUGGCGAAGGCAAUCCCCUGGGCCUGCACUGACGCUCAUGCACGAAAGCGUGGGGAGCAAACAGG
rnacentral:rRNA from 1 species